CCCUACGGGGCCAGCAGUGGGGAAUAUUGCACAAUGGGGGAAACCCUGAUGCAGCGACGCCGCGUGAGUGAAGAAGUAAUUCGUUAUGUAAAGCUCUAUCAGCAGGGAAGAAACAGACGGUACCUGAGUAAGAAGCCCCGGCUAAAUACGUGCCAGCAGCCGCGGUAAUACGUAUGGAGCAAGCGUUAUCCGGAUUUACUGGGUGUAAAGGGAGCGCAGACGGCAGGGCAAGUCUGAUGUGAAAGUCCGGGGCUCAACCCCGGGACUGCAUUGGAAACUGUCCGGCUAGAGGGCAGGAGAGGUAA
rnacentral:rRNA from 1 species